rnacentral:rRNA from 1 species
CCCUUAGAUGUUCUGGGCCGCACGCGCGCUACACUGAUUCAUGCAACAAGUUUUGUCCUUGGCUGAUAGGCCUGGGUAAUCUUUGAACGUGAAUCGUGAUGGGGAUAGAUGAUUGCAAUUAUUCAUCUUCAACGAGGAAUUCCUAGUAAACGCAAGUCAUCAGCUUGCAUUGAUUACGUCCCUGCCCUUUGUACACACCGCCCGUCGCACCUACCGAUUGAAUGGUCCGGUGAAAUCUUCGGAUCUGAGAGAUGUCUGAUUAAUUUCGGACGCCUUUUGGAAAAGUUGCUUAAACCUUACCAUUUAGAGGGAGGUGAAGUCGUANCA